UUUGUUUAUUUAUUUGAUUCGAACUCGUUUAUAUUGAUUUAAAUUAGAUCUUAUAACAAUCAAAUGAUAAUAAUAAUUAGUGUUUUCGUGGUUUAUGUGAUAAAAAGACUUUUUAGACUUUCAGUUUUCGAGUAUAAAUAAAUUAAUUUUUCUGUUUGUAAGAUCUAGGACUGCUUCAGAAUGGGUAUGUGCUUUGUUCCAGACUGUAAACAUUACAGUUCAAAGCAUCCAUGUAAGUUUUUUCGGUUCCCAAAAAACAAGACCGAGAGGAAUAGAUGGAUUUCUCUCAUAAGAAGAAGUUUAAUAUAAAAUCACCAGAAAAAAGGAAGUGAACUGUAAAAAACCUUGUGACCGAGCUACUACCAGGACCUUCAACCGAACCACUACCAGGUCCUUCAACCAAACUACUGCCAGGGUCUUCAAAACGAGAUCAUGAAGUGACUCAAAUUUAACUUGAUGCUUCACUACUGAGUCCAUCAUCUGCAUUUCAAGAUGCUGAGAAUUACUUUUUGCGUCAGCAGGUGGUUGAAUCAACUGAGAAGCUGGAAAAGUUAUCAACAAGGUUCAGCUAUGAAAUUGUGAAGAACAAAGGUGCUCGUGUACUAAUGUAUACUGGUAUUCCAACCAAUAAGCUGUUCAUGGUUCUUUUUAAUCAACUGUUUAUGACCUUAAUGAAGCUAAGACUUAAUCUUUCACUUUCCCUACUGCUUUUAUGAAUUUUAAAAAUUGUAGGAUAAUUUUGGAUUGCACCAAAAUUUAUUCAGCAAUUCCAGCAAGCAUGGAAAACCAGAGAUUCACCUACAAUUCAUACAAACACUGAAACAAAUGAAAAAUGUUGGUAGAUGUUGCACCAAAUGGUGUAAUCACCUUUGUUGUGGCUGGAGAUUUGAUAUUAGCAGAUAAAGGUUUCUUGAUUAAGGAACUUCUCCCUACAGAAGUAUCAUUAAAUAUGCCUCCAUUUUUAAUUAACAACACCACAGUUUACAGAAUCCCAAGUAUAAGAAACUCAGGAAAUUGCAAAGGCUAGAAUUCAUGUAGAACGGGCCAAGAAUAGUGUAUUUUGUUCCAUCAUAUUAUAUAUCACAAAUUUCAAUUAUCUUUCAACUGUGUGCAGCCCUCACAAACUUGCAAUAUCCUCCAAUUAAAGAAGUUGAGGAGUAUUAUUGGUAGGAUCUAUACUGUAGGUUAUGCCGUUUAAUGUGAACUGAAUUGAUUAACUGUACGGAGUUGAGCCAAAGUACAUAGACAUAUUAUAAUUUUGAGUUUUAAAUAUUUUUUAUUGUAGCAAUAUAUUUCCUUAUUCGACUUUUUUUGUAAAAAGUUUGGAAAUUUUUAUUUAAAAAAUGUAUAUUUAGAUUUUACUUUAUUUAUAAAUGACUUGAUCUGAUACAAUCUACAAUUUUCAUAAAGUAAACAAAUACAAUUUGAUUUCUUGUCAGUCUUUACAAUCUUCAAAUAAAUUAUUAAGCCACAA